rnacentral:rRNA from 1 species
AUUGAACGCUGGCGGCAGGCUUAACACAUGCAAGUCGAGCGGGCGAGGUUGCUUCGGUAACUGAGCUAGCGGCGGACGGGUGAGUAAUGCUUAGGAAUCUGCCUAUUAGUGGGGGACAACAUUCCGAAAGGAAUGCUAAUACCGCAUACGUCCUACGGGAGAAAGCAGGGGAUCUUCGGACCUUGCGCUAAUAGAUGAGCCUAAGUCAGAUUAGCUAGUUGGUGGGGCAAAGGCCUACCAAGGCGACGAUCUGUAGCGGGUCUGAGAGGAUGAUCCGCCACACUGGGACUGGGACACGGCCCAGACUCCUACGGGAGGCAGCAGUGGGGAAUAUUGGACAAUGGGCGGAAGCCUGAUCCGGCCAUGCCGCGUGUGUGAAGAAGGCCUUUUGGUUGUAAAGCACUUUAAGCGAGGAGGAGGCUACUUGGAUUAAUACUCUGAGAUAGUGGACGCUACUCGCAGAAUAAGCACCGGCUAACUCUGUGCCAGCCGCCGCAGUAAAAC